CCACUUACACUUCUUGUCUAUCCAAUAUCCUCUCUCCUCCAGGCCAGCACAUGCUACCCCUUAUAACUCCUGGUUGUCUGAUGUUCUUUGUGAACAUAGGUCCAAACUCAGGUCAGCAGUGAGAAAAUGGUGCAAAUCAAAAGAUCCGUCAGACCUGAGUAUAUCUUUGCUUUCAUCUUUCUCUGCUGAAAUCCAUACUGCCAAAUCUUCAUAUUUCCACAAGAUAAAAAGCAUCUCAGACACGUAAUCUCUUCAAAACAUUGAAUUCUCUCCUCUAUCCCCCUCCACCACCUAUUUAACAGCUGAUGAUUUUGCCACAUUCUUUACAGACAAAACUACAACCAGCAGCAGUCAGUUCUCAGCUCCACACACACACACAGGAACUCAAACCAACCACAUCCACUGCUAGAACUACUCUCUCCUCCUUCUGUCCCCUGACUGAGGCAGAAGUUAAAAACAUUCUCCUCUCCAGCCAUCCUACAACCUGCCCUCUAGACCCAGUCCCCUCACAAUUUCCCCAAGCUAUUUCUCCUACACUCUUACCAGCACUCACACAUAUCAUCAACACAUCUCUUCUCACAGGCAUUUCCCCCACCACAUUCAAGCAGGCUCGUGUAACCCCACUGCUCAAAAAAAAACUACAUUUAACACUUCAUUUGUAGAUAGCUACAGACCUGUCUCUCCCCUUCCAUUCAUAGCAAAAACAGGUGAACACGUUUUUAACCAGGUAUCACUUUUUCUUUCACAGAAUAACCAGCUGGACAUUAACUGGUCAGGUUUCAGCCAUUCAACUGAGACGGCAUUACUGUCAGGAUAGGAUAUAGCUGCUGCUUUUGACACUGUGAAUCAUCAGAUCCUCCUGUCCACCCUCUCAUCACUGGGCAUCACAGGGAUCCCACUUCCCUGGUUUGAAUCCUAAAGCAUAGAUGAUCCAACAUCACCCACAGCUCAAACUGGCAAAGACUGAGCUUCUCGUCCUCCCUGCCACUCCGACCCUACAGCAUGAUUUCACCAUCCAGCUAGGUUCAUUAACAAUUACCCCAAACCUGAGAUCUACAAGUGAGCGACACCUUGUGGUGCCAUCACAGAGAGGCACAAAAUCACUUUCCAAAACAUUUUCGUUCACCCUUCCUGGCUGGUGGAAUGAUCUUCCCACCCCCUUCCAGAAUGCUGAAUCUCUUUUGUUAACAUUUGACUUCAUCAUUAAACAAUAAAAUAAAUAAAAAAACUUUGCUUUCUCUUUCCUUAAUCCCCUGUCUAGUACUUGUACUAAUCUGAACAAUGUCUGAAAC
ensembl:lncRNA